rnacentral:rRNA from 1 species
CAGGCUAGCUUGCUAGCGCUGACGAGUGGCGGACGGGUGAGUAACGCGUAGGAAUCUACCCAGUUGUGGGGGAUAGCCCGGAGAAAUCCGGAUUAAUACCGCAUACGCCCUACGGGGGAAAACAGGGGAUCUUCGGACCUUGUGCAAUUGGAUGAGCCUGCGUUAGAUUAGCUAGUUGGUGGGGUAAAGGCCUACCAAGGCGACGAUCUAUAGCUGGUCUGAGAGGAUGAUCAGCCACAUCGGGACUGAGACACGGCCCGGACUCCUACGGGAGGCAGCAGUGGGGAAUAUUGGACAAUGGGCGCAAGCCUGAUCCAGCAAUGCCGCGUGUGUGAAGAAGGCCUUCGGGUUGUAAAGCACUUUCAAUUGUGAAGAAGGGGUUAAUAUUAAUACUAUUGACCUUUGACGUUAACUUUAGAAGAAGCACCGGCUAACUCCGUGCCAGCAGCCGCGGUAAUACGGAGGGUGCAAGCGUUAAUCGGAAUUACUGGGCGUAAAGCGCGCGUAGGCGGUUGUUUAAGUCAGAUGUGAAAGCCCCGGGCUCAACCUGGGAAUGGCCUCUGAUACUGGAUAACUAGAGUUUGGGAGAGGGGAGUAGAAUUUCAGGUGUAGCGGUGAAAUGCAUAGAUAUCUGAAGGAAUACCAGUGGCGAAGGCGACUCCCUGGCCUAAAACUGACGCUGAGGUGCGAAAGCGUGGGUAGCAAACAGGAUUAGAUACCCUGGUAGUCCACGCUGUAAACGAUGUCAACUAGCCGUUGGGACUCUUGAAGUCUUAG